rnacentral:rRNA from 1 species
ACGCUCGACACCUACGGGAGGCAGCAGUGAGGAAUAUUGGUCAAUGGACGCAAGUCUGAACCAGCCAUGCCGCGUGCAGGAUGACGGCUCUAUGAGUUGUAAACUGCUUUUGUACGAGGGUAAACGCAGAUACGUGUAUCUGUCUGAAAGUAUCGUACGAAUAAGGAUCGGCUAACUCCGUGCCACAGCCGCGGUAAUCUGAGCGGGCUGGCAAGGC